GCAUCAAACCCAACUAUGUCAACGUUAGCAUUUGCUUCCUAUAAUAUAGAGCUCUUACCUGUACCAAAAGUAAACUGCUUAGGUGCUUCUUGAUCUUCUUGUUCAGACAUGUUGUUUUGCUGCUAAAUUGCUUUUUCGGAGAGGCGAUUGGUAGAGGAUACGUUCGUAGAGCCGCUUGUGAGUAGAAAGGAAUGGGUCUAAUAACGAUAAUUACCAAAGUCAUUGAAACAGUUAAACAGAAGUUAAUGAGCAUAUGCUGCAUUUAUAACUAUCACAUACUUGAUUGUUUUUCUAUUUUACUGCCUUAAAUAUGCGGUAGAUGAUUCAGUUUUUAGAUUCCCCGAGCCCUUGUCGCUUUGAAAGUAGUAUGCCUAGUGAUUUGUUUUUUGUACAAUAUUUAACAACUUUCAGCAAAAACAUGAUCUUCCGUUGCUUGCAAUCUAAGUGAAGCUCAAUUCCCCGAAUCGGGAUUUUGUACGACAAUAUCUUAACUUGAAAUCAUGAGGAAUCAACACUGUAGAAGUAAAAUAACUGUUUAAUAACAGUGCGAUCUUACCUUUAUCCUAUACUAUUUUUCCUAUUUUCUUUUUGCAUCUGCGUUUAUUGAGUGAAGUGAAAGAGGUAUUUAUUCUACUUAAUAACAUGAAUUUGAACUGACAGAGAUCCAAUAUAUAACAAACAAGAUUCCUAUACUCGUUUAAAAAGGAUUUGAAUAAACUGUUUUUAGGAUACUGUUCUAUUUACUUAUUUAUUUUCAGGCAAAAAAAUAGUGCCGCGUGAAAGACCCUCUUUUGCUUUUCCCGAUUGAAUACAUUAUACAAUUAAAAUCCUUUUUUGCUAAAAGAUUGAAUUUAACCAGCGAUUGAUUGUUUUUAUACGUUCGAGAGUUUCAUCUCCGUUUUUAUUAACUUGCAAGAUCAUUCACAAGACGAAAAAUCCUUGAUCGAAUAACAUUACUUUUUGCUUAUUAAGUUGAACUGUUCAGAUUUAUAGAUGACUAGCCUUGACUGUUCAAUUGCACUUAAACAAGCAAUCACUUUAAUUCACUUCGAUCGUUUCGGUAUAAGACGCACUUCAAAUCCUAAGGGUAGUCGACUCUAUUAAAUUUAUAAAUUUGUUAGCAUAAAUAUAACAUUAUUCUGAAUUGCCCUAAUAGCGAGUCAUGUAUUCUCUUAUACCAAUUCCAACGCCUAAAUCCUCUUAGUUCUCUUUCGUUAUAAUCGUUGUUCCUCUUUUCAAUUUCUGAAUAUUAUAAGCGCAUGAUUCACGAAAUUUCAUAGAUUUUGUAGAGGACUUUUACACAGUGUCUUCUCCUCUAUUCAGGUCUGCAACUUUCUAGCUAACAUACACACCCUUUUCAUCUAAACGAAUGCCUUUUAUUUUUAACAUUUUUAAAUCAAACCAAGGAGACUAGAUAAAUAAAAUAAAAAAAAAAGAAAUCAAGAUCUUAACUAGAUUGCAGUUUAUGUUCGACGAAACUUUGGCCAUUUUAAGAAUUUGCCUAAGAGCUUAGGAAAAAAAUAAAUCUUAUCCUAAAACAAAAUACUUUUAUCGGUUUGUCCGCAGUUAAAUAUAACUUCCUAAUUCCUAUUUCCAGUCUUUUAUUUACAUUUAACCAUAUAACGUUUUCCAACGCAUCCGUUAUAUUUUUCAUCUAAUUUAGAUGAAUUUUCCAACUUUCACAAGUUGUCUUCUUCCAGCAGCUUUACGUUGUUGAAUUAAUUGGUUCUUUUGUUUUCUUUCUUCGCUUACAGAAAAAUUUGGAAUUGCUUGUCUUUCUGGAAA